rnacentral:rRNA from 1 species
ACGAACGCUGGCGGCACGCUUAACACAUGCAAGUCGAACGAGAGAAGAGGAGCUUGCUUUUCUGAUCUAGUGGCGGACGGGUGAGUAACACGUGAGCAAUCUGCCUUUCAGAGGGGGAUACCGAUUGGAAACGAUCGUUAAUACCGCAUAACAUAAUUGAACCGCAUGAUUUGAUUAUCAAAGAUUUAUCGCUGAAAGAUGAGCUCGCGUCUGAUUAGCUAGUUGGUAAGGUAACGGCUUACCAAGGCGACGAUCAGUAGCCGGACUGAGAGGUUGAUCGGCCACAUUGGGACUGAGACACGGCCCAGACUCCUACGGGAGGCAGCAGUGGGGAAUAUUGCACAAUGGAGGAAACUCUGAUGCAGCGAUGCCGCGUGAGGGAAGAAGGUUUUAGGAUUGUAAACCUCUGUCUUCAGGGACGAAAAAAGACGGUACCUGAGGAGGAAGCUCCGGCUAACUACGUGCCAGCAGCCGCGGUAAUACGUAGGGAGCGAGCGUUGUCCGGAAUUACUGGGUGUAAAGGGAGCGUAGGCGGGAUCGCAAGUCAGAUGUGAAAACUAUGGGCUUAACCCAUAAACUGCAUUUGAAACUGUGGUUCUUGAGUGAAGUAGAGGUAAGCGGAAUUCCUAGUGUAGCGGUGAAAUGCGUAGAUAUUAGGAGGAACAUCAGUGGCGAAGGCGGCUUACUGGGCUUUAACUGACGCUGAGGCUCGAAAGCGUGGGGAGCAAACAGGAUUAGAUACCCUGGUAGUCCACGCCGUAAACGAUGAUUACUAGGUGUGGGGGGACUGACCCCUUCCGUGCCGCAGCAAACGCAAUAAGUAAUCCACCUGGGGAGUACGACCGCAAGGUUGAAACUCAAAGGAAUUAACGGGGGCCCGCACAAGCAGUGGAGUAUGUGGAUUAAUUCGAAGCAACGCGAAGAACCUUACCAGGUCUUGACAUCGUAUGCAUAGCUCAGAGAUGAGUGAAAUCUCUUCGGAGACAUAUAGACAGGUGGUGCAUGGUUGUCGUCAGCUCGUGUCGUGAGAUGUUGGGUUAAGUCCCGCAACGAGCGCAACCCUUACUGUUAGUUGCUACGCAAGAGCACUCUAGCAGGACUGCCGUUGACAAAACGGAGGAAGGUGGGGAUGACGUCAAAUCAUCAUGCCCCUUAUGACCUGGGCCUCACACGUACUACAAUGGCUGUCAACAGAGGGAUGCAAAGCCGCGAGGUGGAGCGAACCCCUAAAAGCAGUCUUAGUUCGGAUUGUAGGCUGCAACCCGCCUACAUGAAGUCGGAAUUGCUAGUAAUCGCAGAUCAGCAUGCUGCGGUGAAUACGUUCCCGGGCCUUGUACACACCGCCCGUCACGCCAUGGGAGUCGGUAACACCCGAAGCCUGUAGUCUAACCGCAAGGAGGACGCAGUCGAAGGUGGGAUUGAUGACUGGGGUG